GACGAACGCUGGCGGCGUGCUUAACACAUGCAAGUCGAACGGAAAGGCGCCAGUUUGCUGGAGUACUCGAGUGGCGAACGGGUGAGUAACACGUGGGUGAGCUGCCCUGCACUGCGGGAUAAGCCUGGGAAACUGGGGCUAAUACCGGAUAGGACCGCACUUUGGCGUGGGUGGUGGAGAGGCUUUUCUGGUGUGUGAUGAGCUCGCGGCCUAUCAGGUUGGUGGUGGGGUAAUGGUCUACCAAGACGGGCGCGGGGAGCGGGCCUGAGAGGGUGGACGGGCAUCUUGGCUCUGACGGACGGCCGCGCCUGCUACUGGUGGGAGCAGUGGGGAAGCUUGCCCCAGCGAGGACGCCCUGAUGCAGAGAGGCCGCGUGGGGGAUGAAGGCCUUCGGGUUGUAAACUACUUGCGCUAGGGACGAAGCUUGUUGUGACGGUACCUGGAGAAGAAGCACCGGCUAACUACGUG
rnacentral:rRNA from 1 species